AACAGAGUAUAUGAAGGACAGUUAAAUAUUUAUAAAAGUUUAGAAGGCUGCUUUGUAUUCUUUCCUACUGAUAAAGGUCUUUUAGCGCAUCUUCAAAAGCGGCAUGGAGUUAUGAUAUCAUUCUACUCGAUUUUCUUCUAUUUCAGCAUUAUAUAUACAAUAUUUCAUAAACAAGGAUUACAGAUUUUUAGAUUUAUCUUGACGAAUAUCAAAAUUCCAGUGAUGUGAAUUAUGUGUAAAAUACAGGAAAGAUACCUACUUAAUGGAGAUUGUGAAGUAAUAAGAUGCUUAUUGGACAUGAACAAUAAUUAAGAAGCACGGCAAUAAAGGU